rnacentral:rRNA from 1 species
AACGAACGCUGGCGGCGUGGCUAAGGCAUGCAAGUCGAACGAACAUAUUUCCGAAGGGUAACUGAGGGAUAUGUUAGUGGCGAACGGGUGAGGAAUACAUGGACAACGUACCCUGGACUCGGGAUAGCGGCGGCCGCAAGGCUCUUUAGCGAAAGUGCCGGUAAUACCCGAUGACCCCGCGUGAUCGCAUGAUCGAGCGGGCAAGCUCCGACGGUCCGGGAUCGUUCAUGUCCAUCAGCUAGUUGGUGAGGUAACGGCUCACCAAGGCGGCGACGGGUACCGGGCUGAGAGCGUGACCCGGNACAUCGGAACUGAGAUACGGUCCGGACACCUACGGGUGGCUGCAGCAACGAAUAUUCCGGCAAUGGACNCAAGUCUGACGGAGCGACGCCGCGUGUAGGA